AACGAACGCUGGCGGCGCGCUUAAUACAUGCAAGUCGAACGAGAAGGUGUAGCAAUACACUUGUAAAGUGGCGAACGGGUGAGGAAUACAUGGGUAACCUACCCUCGAGUGGGGAACAACCAGCCGAAAGGUUGGCUAAUACCGCGUACGCUUCCGGAUCUUCGGAUUCGGAAGGAAAGUCAUACCGUGGGUAUGACGCUCAAGGAUGGGCUCAUGUCCUAUCAGCUUGUUGGUAGGGUAACGGCCUACCAAGGCUCCGACGGGUAGCUGGUCUGAGAGGACGGUCAGCCACACUGGCACUGCGACACGGGCCAGACUCCUACGGGAGGCAGCAGUAAGGAAUAUUGCGCAAUGGGCGAAAGCCUGACGCAGCGACGCCGCGUGGGGAUGAAGGUCUUCGGAUUGUAAACCCCUUUCGGGAGGGAAAAUGGAACGAGCAAUCGUUCGGAUGGUACCUCCAGAAGCAGCCACGGCUAACUUCGUGCCAGCAGCCGCCGUAAG
rnacentral:rRNA from 1 species